rnacentral:rRNA from 1 species
GUACACUCCUGCGGGAGGCAGCAGUAGGGAAUCUUCCACAAUGGGUGCAAACCUGAUGGAGCAAUGCCGCGUGAGUGAAGAAGGUCUUCGGAUCGUAAAGCUCUGUUGUUAGAGAAGAACACGUGCUAGGUAACUACUAGCGCCUUGACGGUAUCUAACCAGAAAGUCACGGCUAACUACGUGCCAGCAGCCGCGGUAAUACGUAGGUGACAAGCGUUGUCCGGAUUUAUUGGGCGUAAAGGGAGCGCAGGCGGUCUGUUUAGUCUAAUGUGAAAGCCCACGGCUUAACCGUGGAACGGCAUUGGAAACUGACAGACUUGAAUGUAGAAGAGGAAAAUGGAAUUCCAAGUGUAGCGGUGGAAUGCGUAGAUAUUUGGAGGAACACCAGUGGCGAAGGCGAUUUUCUGGUCUAACAUUGACGCUGAGGCUCGAAAGCGUGGGGAGCGAACAGGAUUAGAUACCCUAGUAGUCCC